rnacentral:lncRNA from 1 species
UCCAAUUACAACGAACUAAUAUAUACAUGACUUCAUCUCCAGAGGAGCAACGGCUAUGUUCUUCAGACAUCAUACAAGUGUGUACAAAUAGUCAACUUUGUAGCCUGCUUCUAGAAAAUGGUAUACACCUGCAAUCAUACAUGGAAUUUUGGAUGGAAUUAUGGGUGUGUAUGCACGCAUGUACAUGUCAACUAGUUGCUUGAAUCAUGAUAGUUUUGAAUGUGCACUGUGAGAUGGAGUUGGUCGGCAGGCGAUGAGUUUUGCUCUGAGAAGCAAGAAUCUUCUUAGCUGUCCUUAGGUUAGUCUUCAAUUUAUAGUGCAUUUUGAAGAAUAAAUGGCAUAUGCCGACGUGUAACGCCCUGCAAGGGAGAUAAAUAAAUCUGCUUUGAUGAUAUAUCUUAAUCCACAACUCCUCUUAAUAAAGUGCAUAAAAUGGCUUCAUUAGUUAAAUGUGACAUCAUUAUCCACAUUUGCACCAUGGUUCUUGCCAAACAAUGGCUAAUCAUGUGAAUCAUGAGAUUAUAAAACAAGAUCUUAGAGUAGACUUGGCAGUUGGAUUAGAUUCUUGCUUUAGCUAAGCUCCACCUUGUCCAUGACGAUAUCCAAUGAAACUAUAACGGGAGCAGAUAUGAGUGUGAUUAACAUAUGGCCACUUCUAGAGAAUAAGCAAACAGCACCCAUAGAAUAUAAACAUUUGAAUACAAGACUAUUGCAUUUGAUAAUUUCUAUAAAGUAUUGAUUUUUCUGGUCCCUCUAACGAGAUUUAAAAGAUUAUGAUUUUGAAAUAAUCAGGCGACAAGAAGUAUUCAAUAACCAUUGCAGUUUUUUCUUUUUUUUUUUUUUACUAAGAAAGAAAGUUUAUAUAUAACGAGUAUGAAUACAACCCAAAGAGUCAGAAAGAAGAAUACCCUGAAAUGACAUUGGCAAAAGAGAAACAUCAGUCCAACAUCAGCUACAAAACUCGCAAAUAACCAUGGUAGUUCAGGUAGCAUCGUUAGAGCUUCAAGCAUCUAAAAGCAAGAGCAGGAGCAAAUUAAGUUUCAUGAGCUGGAUUGGUAAAGGUUUUGCAACUAAUGCAGAAUAGAUGGUUCAAACUUUGCUUUAAACCUGAGACCACCUCAAACUUUGCUUUGUCCUAUGAAUGGUGACUCACCUCUUUUGACUUCAGGUCUGGUUGAUGGGGCUCCUUUUAGCCUCCAUGCUGUUAUUAGUUAUUACUAACUUUUGUUUGUGAACAAAGUAUUACAGUUUGACACAUACUGCUGCCAGGAGGAAAUUUUAACAGCAAAUCACAGAAGACAAGGCUGUAUUCAAAAGCUAUUGGGCAAUAAAAAAAUAGCAAUCAAGAUCAAUUAUGCGCACUUUAUAUAUGAGAACUUUAAAGUGAAAGCAUGGAACAGAAGAGAAAGAUAUAGAAAUUAACAAAAUGAAUGAUGGCUCCAUUUUGCACCAGUUUAAAUUGGACAGUGUAUGGAGGCUGACAACCAGGUAUUCUGUCUUACACAUAAAAUUGGAUUUGGAUCCAAAAAUUUAUAUCAGAAGUUGUCAUCAGGCUGGAUCCUCAUCUAAGAAUCAAAAUCAGAAUCUGGUUGAAUUUGAACCAAUUUGCUUAAUAUUAUUUGAUAUUAUUCAUGUUAUGUGAAUUUUAUAAAUGCUCAUUCUGAAGAAAGAACCAUUUAGCUGAUUUAUAAAAGGAGACAAAUGGCUUGCUUUUUAUGUUUAUUUUAUGAAUAAAGAAACAAAUAAAAGGUAUAUUAUCAAGCAGUAAAUAAAGCAAAUAAAAUGAGAACAUCAUUCUGGAGCCAUUUUAAAACCUUAGUGAUUCUUAUUUUUUCCCUUACUGAUAAUUUUGAGACCUUAAUUUUUAUCAGAUGGAGGCCUACAACCUCAUGGGAUACAGAGUCAAGAAUUGCUAUUCCAUCUGGCUUCAAUCCAUUAAGGUUUUAGUUUAUAUGUGAUUCUGUUAUGAUACUAGCACUACCUGAGCCUGUUGCGGUAGAAUACUAGUUCAGAGUGUAUGAGUAGAUGCAACCAUGGAAGAAAUAUUAAAGGAGAUGACUUUCAUUAUAUACUGGGAAUGUUCUCAACCUACCAAUACAGUAGACAAGGUCUGAAGGCCAUGAAUCACUUGUAGGUAGUAACACAUGAGAAUGCAGUGCACACUGCAAGCUGUAAUGAUUGUGAUUGCAGAGAUGGACCUCUCCAGUUUAAAUUCAAAAUGGAGAUGAUCCAACCUCUUUAAAAUGACCAUGUUGCAGUUAUAUGUCAGGCCUGUCAAAAAACCUAAAUAUGAAAAAGGUGAUUUGCAUGCCUAAGAACAUCACUUCAUGUAACAUUAGCAGAUUUUCAAAUCAUAUAUAUUUCUUUUUUGACAUUUGUUCCUUAAAAGUGAUUGGAGAUGACUUCAUCAAUCUUGAGAAAGCAAGAGCAGAUACAUCUGCCAACUCUUUAUUGGCCCAAUGAAUCUUUAUGUACAUGAUACAGUUUACAUGUUUGUUGAAACAUACUAAGUGCAGAAUAAUAACCAUAAAAGAGAUCAAAGCUAAGGAUGAUAGAUGAAAGCUUCCAAAAAUCCAAGUGCAGCAUAAUUUUCUAAGGCUGUCUCUAUCUAACAAUUAAUGUAGACCAAUAUAACCAACGCUUUUUCUAUAUCAGUCAGAAUCAUUACUUCAGACAAAAGUUGGGGAGGAAGAAGAGUUUAUGCACUGGCCGUCCAAUUAGGUGGUGUCCGAUUAGCUUUCAUUAGGUGGCAACGUAAGCAACGGGGAUCAUUCAGUAACAAGAUGAGAUAUGAGAUUCUUAUUUGUUUGGUGACAGCAGAAUACUAAUAGAAUUUAGCAUUUGUCUACCUACAAAUAAAAGGCUGAAGCUGAGAACAGGUCUUUUUCUGGUAAGUAGAGGUCUUUUUCUAACAUUAAGUUUGGAACCUAGACCACAAAGCUUUCUUUCCUUCUAGAUGUGAAGGGUUCUAGAAGAGAACCUUUAUUCAGGAAAAGGAGAUCUCUGUAUUAGUAAGAAGAUCUCAAUAUGCUGAUAAAUCAGAUCCAAUAACAGGUCAUCAGGUCUCUUAUUCUUGAUGAUCAGAUCUGAAUCAUAACAUAACCAAGAGAACAUAAAAAGAAACAAAACAAAAAAAGGGAAAAACUAUGGAGAAAAAGAGAGGUCUAGUCUCAUUAAAUGGAAUGUACUGCGAUUAUCAGUAUGAACAGUACCCUUUGUAGGUGUAGAUUGUUUUGUUUUUCUCCUUGUUUUCUCUUGAAGCUUCAGGCAAAAUAUUUCAUUUCAAUGCUUUAUAAGAACAUGAUAGUUAAUGUGGCCCAAUUAUUAUUUUUUGAAAGAUAUUCCGCAAAAUCUUACCAUGAUAUCAUAUUAGGCAGAAGUAAUAUUGGUUGUGUCAACAAUUUUGGCAAAUUUUUCACAUAUUACUAUCACCAGGAAAUCCUAUGCAAAAAACAGAUGUGCACGGCAGACUUAGAACCCAAGUUUCAGUUACUGAAUUAAUCUACGAGAACUCGGUGGCACCAUUUGUUUGGAGGUAACAUGAUGACUUCAUGACAGCAAUAGUUGGAACAAGAUAAUGUGCGGUUCAUUACUAAAUGCAUAUGAAGUAAGCUAAUAACAACCCAAGGAAGCUGAAACUAAGGAUAUUAGAAUAAUAAAACAUUGAGAGUAGGUUAAUGCUUUGAUGGUUUUCUUUUUAGAGGCCAACAUAUCUUAUGCAUGAAGAAAUUUGUGGAGAAGGUUACACAACGCUGAAGAAAUUUGUGGUUUCUGCCUCUAUUUCUGUUCCCAUUACCAUCAUUGAGAUGUGUAGCAUAUUCCUUAAUCAUCAAAUUUCUUCAAAUUAACCUUGGUUUUGACUGAUCCCUUCAGGUUUUUCACUUCCUAAUAGAAUAAUUAUAUAGCAAGCAUCAGACAAUAUUUCUAUGUAUAACAUGCCAUUGUAUUCAUGUCUAUGUAGUCUUGCAGAACAUCCUUGUUUGUUUUCAAGCAAUCUUGGGAACCAAUUAAAUUGGAAUAUCACAAAAAGGAAAAAAGAAAAUUAUAAACAUUCAAAAACAAUAACUUACCUGUUGCAUGUAGCUUCCAAGACAUUAAACAUC